rnacentral:rRNA from 1 species
AUUGAACGCUGGCGGCAGGCCUAACACAUGCAAGUCGAGCGAGCGGCGGACGGGUGAGUAAUGUCUGGGAAACUGCCUGAUGGAGGGGGAUAACUACUGGAAACGGUAGCUAAUACCGCAUAACAUCAGAUGUGCCCAGAUGGGAUUAGCUAGUAGGUGGGGUAACGGCUCACCUAGGCGACGAUCCCGAGCUGGUCUGAGAGGAUGACCAGCCACACCAUAACGUAGCAACGGUCCAGAUUCCUACGGUAGGCAGCAGUGGGGAAUAUGGCACAAUGGGCGGAAGCCUGGUGCAGCCAUGCCGCGUGUGUGAAGAAGGCCUUCGUGUUGUAAAGCCCUUUCAGCGGGGAGGCGUUACCCGCAGAAGAAGCACCGGCUAACUCCGUGCCAGCAGCCGCGGUAAUAC